GGCAACUUGGAGAAGUGGCAAGUCUUCCAGUAUGGGGAGCAAAACAGCUAUGGGUCAAGUCUGAUAUCUUUAGGAGGCGCGAAGCUCCUCUUAUUGUGAGGGCGAGUUAUAUAACACCAUAGGACUGGCCGUCCCNUNUGAAAAGAUUAUAUUAGAAUUGAAUGAAGCUUUGUUUAUAUAUUGAUAAUGACAGUAUAUAUAUCGUGUCUUGACUAAUUGCGUGCCAGCAGUCGCGGUAAUACGUAAGAGACUAGUGUUAUUCAUCUUAAUUAGGUUUAAAGGGUACCCAGACGGUCAAUAUAGCUUAUAAAAUGUUAGUACUUGACUAGAGUUUUAUGUAAGAGGGCAGUACUUGAGGAGGAGAGAUGAAAUUUCGUGAUACCAAAGGGACUCUGUAAAGGCGAAGGCAGCCCUCUAUGUAAAAACUGACGUUGAAGGACGAAGGCACAGAGAACAAACAGGAUUAGAUACCCAAGUAGUCUUUGCAGUAAAUGAUGAAUGCCAUAGGUNAGAUNGGUGNGCUCGUCUAGUUGAGUUAGUUUAGCAAACUAAUGAUCUAGACGAGCCCACCGUAUAUUUGGUCUAUAAAUGAAAGUGUAAGCAUUUCACCUCAAGAGUAAUGUGGCAACGCAGGAACUGAAAUC
rnacentral:rRNA from 1 species